rnacentral:sRNA from 1 species
AUCCUCGAUCUGCUGCGGGCAGAUGUAAUGGAUGUGGCUGUCAAACCCGCCCGCCGUCAGGAUCCGCCCCUCGCCCGCGAUGGCCUCUGUGCCGGGGCCGACGAUGAUGUCCACGCCGGGCUGCGUAUCCGGGUUGCCGGCCUUGCCGAUGGCGGCGAUUCGGCCGUCCUUCAGGCCCACGUCGGCCUUGUAGAUGCCGGUGACAUCGAGGAUCAGCGCAUUGGUGAUGACGGUAUCCACCGCGCCUUCCGCGCGGGUCGUCUGCGCCUGCCCCAUGCCGUCGCGGAU